GGGGGUGUAGCUCAAUGGUAGCGCACUUGCCUAGCUUGUGUGAGGCCCUGGGUUUGAUUCCCAGCACUGCCA
rnacentral:tRNA from 1 species